GUUUGCUUCAGCAGUGCAGAUACUAAAAUUGAAAUGAUACAGAAAGCAGCAUGGUCCUUGGGCGAGAAUGGCAGGCAAAUGCAUGAGGCAUUCCAUAUUUUU
rnacentral:snRNA from 1 species